rnacentral:rRNA from 1 species
UACGGAGGGUGCAAGCGUUGUUCGGAUUCAUUGGGCGUAAAGGGUGCGUAGGCGGCGCGGUAAGUCGGGUGUGAAAUCUCGGGGCUUAACUCCGAAACUGCAUUCGAUACUGCCGUGCUUGAGGACUGGAGAGGAGACUGGAAUUUACGGUGUAGCGGUGAAAUGCGUAGAUAUCGUAAGGAAGACCAGUGGCGAAGGCGGGUCUCUGGACAGUUCCUGACGCUGAGGCACGAAGGUCAGGGGAGCAAACGGG